rnacentral:rRNA from 1 species
GAGUUUGAUCGUGGCUCAGGACGAACGCUGGCGGCGUGCCUAAUACAUGCAAGUAGAACGCUGAGGUUUGGUGUUUACACUAGACUGAUGAGUUGCGAACGGGUGAGUAACGCGUAGGUAACCUGCCUCAUAGCGGGGGGAUAACUAUUGGAAACGAUAGCUAAUACCGCAUAAGAGUAAUUAACACAUGUUAGUUAUUUAAAAGGAGCAAUUGCUUCACUGUGAGAUGGACCCGCGUUGUAUUAGCUAGUUGGUGAGGUAAAGGGCUCACCAAGGCGACGAUACAUAGCCGACCUGAGAGGGUGAUCGGCCGACACUGGGACUGAGACACGGCCCAGACUCCUACGGGAGGCAGCAGUAGGGAAUCUUCGGCAAUGGACGGAAGUCUGACCGAGCAACG